AUUCCAUGAUGCGAACAUUUCCUCAACAUCUCCUUAUACCUUUCCCAUGUAUCACACAAUGAUUCGGAUUCCAAUUGGCGGAAAGAGGAGAUGUCACUUUUGAGUUU